UUAAAAAGCUCGUAGUUGGAUUUCGGAGUGGGCCAGUUGGUCCGCCGCAAGGUGUGUUACUGACUGGUUUGCUCUUCUUCGCAAAGACUGCGUGUGCUCUUAGUUGAGUGUGCGUAGGAUUUACGACGUUUACUUUGAAAAAAUUAGAGUGUUCAAAGCAGGCUAUUGCUUGAAUACAUGAGCAUGGAAUAAUGGAAUAGGACUUUGGUCCCAUUUUGUUGGUUUCUAGGACCGAAGUAAUGAUUAAGAGGGACAAUUGGGGGCAUCCGUAUUUCGUUGUCAGAGGUGAAAUUCUUGGAUUUACGAAAGACGAACAACUGCGAAAGCACUUGCCAAGAGUGUUUUCAUUAAUCAAGAACGAAAGUUAGAGGAUCGAAGACGAUCAGAUACCGUCCUAGUUCUAACCAUAAACGAUGUCGACUAGGGAUCAGCGGGCGUUAUCGUACGACCCCGUUGGCACCUUACGGGAAACCAAAGUUUCUGGAUUCCGGGGGAAGUAUAGUCGCAAGGCCGAAACUU
rnacentral:rRNA from 1 species